rnacentral:rRNA from 1 species
AACGAACGCUGGCGGCAGGCUUAACACAUGCAAGUCGCGCGCUCCGCAAGGGGAGCGGCAGACGGGUGAGUAACGCGUGGGAAUCCACCCAUCUCUACGGAAUAACGCAUGGACACGUGUGCUAAUACCGUAUACGUCCAUCAGGUGAAAGAUUUAUCGGAGAUGGAUGAGCCCGCGUUGGAUUAGCUAGUUGGAGGGGUAAAGGCCUACAAAGGCGACGAUCCAUAGCUGUUCUGAGAGGAUGAUCAGCCACACUGGGACUGAGACACGGCCCAGUCUCCUACGGGAGGAAGCGGUGGGGAAUAUUGGACAAUGGGCGCAAGCCUGAUCCAGCCAUGCCGCGUGAGUGAUGAAGGCCCUAGGGUUGUAAAGCUCUUUCACCGGUGAAGAUAAUGACGGUAACCGGAGAAGAAGCCCCGGCUAACUUCGUGCCAGCAGCCGCGGUAACAC